rnacentral:rRNA from 1 species
AGAGUUUGAUCCUGGCUCAGAUUGAACGCUGGCGGCAUGCUUUACACAUGCAAGUCGAACGGCAGCACGGGUGCUUGCACCUGGUGGCGAGUGGCGAACGGGUGAGUAAUGCACCGGAACGUACCCAGUAAUGGGGGAUAACACAUCGAAAGAUGUGCUAAUACCGCAUACGCCCUGAGGGGGAAAGCGGGGGAUCGUAAGACCUCGCGUUAUUGGAGCGGCCGAUGCCGGAUUAGCUAGUUGGUGAGGUAAGAGCUCACCAAGGCGACGAUCUGUAGCUGGUCUGAGAGGACGACCAGCCACACUGGGACUGAGACACGGCCCAGACUCCUACGGGAGGCAGCAGUGGGGAAUUUUGGACAAUGGGCGCAAGCCUGAUCCAGCCAUGCCGCGUGAGUGAAGAAGGCCUUCGGGUUGUAAAGCUCUUUCGCAAGGAAAGAAAACUUAUCU